AACUUUUGACAACGGAUCUCUAGGCUCUUGCAUCGAUGAAGAACGCAGUGAAAUGUGAUAAGUAAUGUGAAUUGCAGAAUCUCGUGAAUCAUCGAAUCUUUGAACGCACAUUGCGCCCAAUGGUAUUCCAUUGGGCAUACCUGUUUGAGUAUCAGAAUCCUUUCAAUUAUCAAACUUUUACAUAUAGAGAUAUAUGUAAAGAUGUUUGGAAUACAAUUGAGAAAAGUAGUAUUCCUUAUGGUAUUGCUUUCUUAAAAACUAGAAAUACUAUGUUUUGAUUUUUCUUCAGCUCAUUUUGUAUAUCAUUUAACAAAUGAGUACGAGUAAAAAUAUACAAUACUUUGGAUGACCUCAAAUCAGGUAGGGAUACCCGCUGAACUUAAGCAUAUCAAUAAGCGGAGGCU
rnacentral:misc_RNA from 1 species